rnacentral:rRNA from 1 species
GACAGAGGUGCCAAGCGUUAGGCGGAAUCACUGGGCUUAAAGCGUGUGUAGGCGGAAUGGUAAGUACCUUGUGAAAUCCCACGGCUCAACCGUGGAACUGCUUGGUAUACUGCUUUUCUUGAGCCACUUAGGGGCAACCGGAACAAACGGUGGAGCGGUGAAAUGCGUAGAUAUCGUUUGGAACGCCAAUGGUGAAAACAGGUUGCUGGGAGUGUGCUGACGCUGAGACACGAAAGCCAGGGGAGGCAAACGGG